rnacentral:rRNA from 1 species
UGCAGUCGAGCGGCAGCACAGAGGAACUUGUUCCUUGGGUGGCGAGCGGCGGACGGGUGAGUAAUGCCUGGGAAAUUGCCCUGAUGUGGGGGAUAACCAUUGGAAACGAUGGCUAAUACCGCAUGAUGCCUACGGGCCAAAGAGGGGGACCUUCGGGCCUCUCGCGUCAGGAUAUGCCCAGGUGGGAUUAGCUAGUUGGUGAGGUAAUGGCUCACCAAGGCGACGAUCCCUAGCUGGUCUGAGAGGAUGAUCAGCCACACUGGAACUGAGACACGGUCCAGACUCCUACGGGAGGCAGCAGUGGGGAAUAUUGCACAAUGGGCGCAAGCCUGAUGCAGCCAUGCCGCGUGUAUGAAGAAGGCCUUCGGGUUGUAAAGUACUUUCAGUCGUGAGGAAGGUUGUAGUGUGAAUAGCACUAUGAUUUGACGUUAGCGACAGAAGAAGCACCGGCUAACUCCGUGCCAGCAGCCGCGGUAAUACGGAGGGAGCGAGCGUUAAUCGGAAUU